rnacentral:rRNA from 1 species
GAUGAACGCUGGCGGCGUGCCUAAUACAUGCAAGUCGAGCGAACGGACGAGAAUCUUGCUUCUCUGAUGUUAGCGGCGGACGUGUGAGUAACACGUGUAUAACCUACCUAUAAUACUGGUAUAACUUCGGGAAACCGGAGCUAAUCCCGGAUAAUAUUUUGCACCGCAUGGUUCAAUAGUGAAAUACGGUCUUGCUGUCACUUCUAGAUGGAUCCGCGCUGCAUUAGCUAGUUGGUAAGGUAACGGCUUACCAAGGCAACGAUGCAUAGCCGACCUGAGAGGGUGAUAGGCCACACUGGAACUGAGACACGGUCCAGACUACUACGGGAGGCAGCAGUAGGGAAUCUUACGCAACGGGCGAAAGCAUGACGGAGCAACGCGGAGUGAGUGAUGAAGGUCUUCGGAUCGUAAAAAUCUGUUAUGAGGGAAGAACAGAUGUGUAAGGAAAUGUGCAGAGAGUGACGGUAACGAAUAAGAAAGCAACGGCUAACUACGUG